rnacentral:rRNA from 1 species
GAUGAACGCUGGCGGCGUGCCUAAUACAUGCAAGUCGAGCGAACAGAUGAGGAGCUUGCUCCUCUGACGUUAGCGGCGGACGGGUGAGUAACACGUGGAUAACCUACCUAUAAGACUGGGAUAACUUCGGGAAACCGGAGCUAAUACCGGAUAAUAUAUUGAACCGCAUGGUUCAAUAGUGAAAGACGGUUUUGCUGUCACUUAUAGAUGGAUCCGCGCCGCAUUAGCUAGUUGGUAAGGUAACGGCUUACCAAGGCAACGAUGCGUAGCCGACCUGAGAGGGUGAUCGGCCACACUGGAACUGAGACACGGUCCAGACUCCUACGGGAGGCAGCAGUAGGGAAUCAUCCGCAAUGGGCGAAAGCCUGACGGAGCAACGCCGCGUGAGUGAUGAAGGUCUUCGGAUCGUAAAACUCUGUUAUUAGGGAAGAACAAAUGUGUAAGUAACUAUGCACGUCUUGACGGUACCUAAUCAGAAAGCCACGGCUAACUACGUG